rnacentral:lncRNA from 1 species
AGACUGAGUUUUGCUCUUGUUGCCCAGGCUAUUGGUUGCCUGGAAGAUGGAGGAAGAGGCCGUGAACCAAGGAUGUGGGCAGCCUCUAAAAGCUGGAGAAGGCGAGGAAAAUUUCUCCCUGAGAGCCUCCAGAAGGAACCAGCUAUGCGGACACAUUGAUGCUAGCCUACAGAGACCCAUUCUGUACUUCUGACUUCCAGAAUUGUAAAGAAUACAUUUGUGGAAUUUUUUUUUUUUUUUUUUGAGAGUCUCACUCUGUCACCCAGGCUGGAGUGCAGUGGUAUGACCUCGGCUCACUGCAACCUCUGCCUCCCGGGUUCAAGCGAUUCUCCUGCCUCAGCUUCCCAUGUAGCUGGAAUUACAGGCAUGCGCCACCACAUCCA